rnacentral:rRNA from 1 species
GACGAACGCUGGCGGCGUGCUUAACACAUGCAAGUCGAGCGGUAAGGCCCUUUCGGGGGUACACGAGCGGCGAACGGGUGAGUAACACGUGGGUGACCUGCCCUCAGCUCUGGGAUAAGCCUGGGAAACCGGGUCUAAUACCGGAUAUGACUCCAUGACGCAUGUUGUGGGGUGGAAGCCUUGUGCGGCUGAGGAUGGGCCCGCGGCCUAUCAGCUUGUUGGUGGGGUGANGGCCUACCAAGGCGACGACGGGUAGCCGGCCUGAGAGGGCGACCGGCCACACUGGGACUGAGACACGGCCCAGACUCCUACGGGAGGCAGCAGUGGGGAAUCUUGCGCAAUGGGCGAAAGCCUGACGCAGCGACGCCGCGUGAGGGAUGACGGCCU